GAAGUUUUCAGAGAUGAGAAUGUGCCUUCGGGAACCGUGAGACAGGUGCUGCAUGGCUGUCGUCAGCUCGUGUUGUGAAAUGUUGGGUUAAGUCCCGCAACGAGCGCAACCCUUAUCCUUUGUUGCCAGCGAUUAGGUCGGGAACUCAAAGGAGACUGCCAGUGAUAAACUGGAGGAAGGUGGGGAUGACGUCAAGUCAUCAUGGCCCUUACGACCAGGGCUACACACGUGCUACAAUGGCGCAUACAAAGAGAAGCGACCUCGCGAGAGCAAGCGGACCUCAUAAAGUGCGUCGUAGUCCGGAUUGGAGUCUGCAACUCGACUCCAUGAAGUCGGAAUCGCUAGUAAUCGUGGAUCAGAAUGCCACGGUGAAUACGUUCCCGGGCCUUGUACACACCGCCCGUCACACCAUGGGAGUGGGUUGCAAAAGAAGUAGGUAGCUUAACCUUCGGGAGGGCGCUUACCACUUUGUGAUUCAUGACUGGGGUGAAGUCGUAACAAGGUAACCGUAGGGGAACCUGCGGUUGGAUCACCUCCUUACCUUAAAGAAGC
rnacentral:rRNA from 6 species